rnacentral:lncRNA from 1 species
CACAUUACGUAGGAGGUACGCGCGUAGGCGUAGGCGUGUCUGAGUGUAUGGUGACUACGAGGCAGAAAUCUAGACCGAGUGACGUCUCGAACGAAUGCUGGUUGGAUAGCGAUAUUUCGGUAUCGACAAUCGAAAGAAUUGUAACCGAAGGAAGCGAAAUAGCGGAUCACCACCCGGAAAUGGAAAAGGCGCCAUUUAAAUUGUCAACAUCUGGAAAGAAAAGGCCUUUUGCUAUUUGCAAACUGAAGAUUAAAGGUGGGUGUCCACUGUCCCGCUUUCGCCGACCGUUAUUGCCGAGUACCCGGCUUGGCAGUCGUUGAAGACGGAAGAGAAGUGUACAUUUCACCGGCAAACGACAGGACCAAUGAGAUGAUUCAAUUGGUGAGAUUCGUUAAAUCUAACCAAUUGACGAGGAGCUAACAAAAUAAUUUGUCAAAAG